rnacentral:pre_miRNA from 1 species
UUAAUACUCCCUCCGUCCGGAAAUACUUGUCAUCAAAAUGAAUAAAAGGGGAUGUAUCUAGACAUAUUUUAGUUCUAGAUACAUCCUUUUUUAUUCAUUUUGAUGACAAGUAUUUUCAGACGGAGGGAGUAGCGC